AGACAGGAAGCGUUUGCGUGCGCGAGGGCCCAGCAACCGGCAAGGCACCCCCGCCCGGGUGCCAGGGACGUAUCGAGAUUCUUUGGUUCUCACUGGAAAUACCUUGCAGGCAAAUCUGGGAAUGCGAAUUUCCGUGCGGAGCGCAACACAAGAGGAGGAGGUUAAGCGAGGCGGAAGUAUGCUGGGCAUUGUAGUCCAGCUGUGUCGCGGGGCCUGCUGGGAGUUGUAGUGCUCCCGCGCUCACGCUCCCCUGAAGAGACUCCGCCCCCUCCCCAGAUGUCAUAGCCAGUCCCCAGCGCCGUCUUCCUCCCGGUCUCAGCCUCAUCCAGCUCUGCGCUAGAGCAGGUCAAUUCGGCUGAUGGGAUAAGAGAAUCCUAAGAUUAAAAUGGUUAAAAGAACGAGAGAAUUUAGAAGAAGGUCUGGCAGUGAGAAGGUGCUAUAGUUAUUAGUUGACAUUGCUAUUUAAUCCUCUGACCUUUGCAAAGUGGCUAUUACCAUCUCAGAUAAGGAAUCUGAAGCUCGGAGGAGACAGAUGGCCUUUCCAGGGUCACGCCACGAGGAAGGACAAAAUCAGGGAUGGAACUCCAGCUACCACUGAGCUACACUGCAGCCUUUCUUCCUGUACAACUUAUUUCUGCAUUGUCUGGGUUUUGUAUCAUCUUACUUUUGGACGUGUGGCUCAAGCACUGCUUUGCAAGCAUGAAGCCCUGAGUUCAAAACCAAAGAUGGAGGAGGAGGGGGAGGAAACCGAAAAGAUAGAUAACCAUAGCACAGGUUAAGUAGCUUGCCCAAAGUCACAAGCUUAUAAGUAGUACAUUUGGGAUUUAACCCCCAGCUCUUAACUUGUGUUAAUUAGCUCCUUGUCACUGUGACAGAGUGCCUGACAAGAGCAUGGUG